GGGUGGAUCGGCCGCUUCCCCCACAGCUUUGUCCCAGGUAGACCCCAGUAGAGCUCCCAGGCUUUUCGGGUGCUUGAGUGCUGGCUUUAGUCAGAAUGUAGUUAGCCCGGGGUCUCCUGACCAUCAGUAUGUUGGAUGCUGUACGUGGAAGCCUCAUAAUCGGGCAAAAUACCCCAAAAUCAGGCUAUGUUUCAGGAGCUCAGGUUUUCCACGUCUAGUCGGCUCAGAGGUCAG